rnacentral:rRNA from 1 species
GACGAACGCUGGCGGCGUGCCUAAUACAUGCAAGUCGAACGAACCGCGACUGAGUGCUUGCACUUGGUCAAGGUGAGUGGCGAACGGGUGAGUAACACGUGGGUAACCUACCUCAUAGUGGGGGAUAACAGUCGGAAACGACUGCUAAUACCGCAUAGGACAUAGGAUCACAUGAUCCAGUGAGGAAGGGUGGCGCAAGCUAUCGCUACGAGAUGGACCCGCGGUGCAUUAGCUAGUUGGUAGGGUGAAGGCCUACCAAGGCGAUGAUGCAUAGCCGACCUGAGAGGGUGAUCGGCCACAUUGGGACUGAGACACGGCCCAAACUCCUACGGGAGGCAGCAGUAGGGAAUCUUCCGCAAUGGACGCAAGUCUGACGGGGCAACGCCGCGUGAGUGAAGAAGGUCUUCGGAUCGUAAAGCUCUGUUGUUAGAGAAGAACAGCGCAUAGAGUAACUGCUAUGCGUGUGACGGUAUCUAAACAGAAAGCCACGGCUAACUACGUG